rfam:Fusarium oxysporum f. sp. cubense race 1 unplaced genomic scaffold scaffold255, whole genome shotgun sequence.
CUCCAAAGAAUGUUGGGGGCAGAUAUUGUGGACAUGAGUAUCGAUUCCACCAGCAGUGACAAUCUUACCUCCAGCGUCAAUGAUGUCGGUGUUUGACCCAAUAAUCAUGUUAUCCGAGACACCAUCCAUCGUAGCUGGGUUACCAGCCUUUCCAAUGCCGACAAUGGCACCAUCCUUGACGCCAAUGUCGGCCUUGAAGAUGCCUGUCCAAUCAAUGAUAACAGCGUUGAUAAUAGCCAAGUCAAGACAGUCCGCGUCAGGGCAUCCACUUGCAGCUCCCAUCCCAUCUCGAA